rnacentral:rRNA from 1 species
CAGUCGCCGCGGUAAUACGGAGGAUCCAAGCGUUAUCCGGAUUUAUUGGGUUUAAAGGGUGCGUAGGUGGCCUGUUAAGUCAGGGGUGAAAGACGGUAGCUUAACUAUCGCAGUGCCUUUGAUACUGACGGGCUUGAAUACACUAGAGGUAGGCGGAAUGUGACAAGUAGCGGUGAAAUGCAUAGAUAUGUCACAGAACACCAAUUGCGAAGGCAGCUUACUAUGGUGUCAUUGACACUGAGGCACGAAAGCGUGGGGAUCAAACAGGAUUAGAUACCCCUGUAGUCCCUGUCCUUAUACA